rnacentral:snRNA from 1 species
UGGAGUCUUGAUAUAAUCACAA